GAGGGUAUAGCUCAACUGGUAGAGUGCAUGCUUGGCAUGCACACGGUCCUGGGUUCAAUCCCCAGCACCUCCU
rnacentral:tRNA from 1 species